GUAAAGCACUUUUUGUCCGGAAAGAAAACCUCCGCCCUAAUAUGGUGGGGGGAUGACGGUACCGGAAGAAUAAGCACCGGCUAACUACGUGCCAGCAGCCGCGGUAAUACGUAGGGUGCAAGCGUUAAUCGGAAUUACUGGGCGUAAAGCGUGCGCAGGCGGUCCGCUAAGACAGAUGUGAAAUCCCCGGGCUUAACCUGGGAACUGCAUUUGUGACUGGCGGGCUAGAGUAUGGCAGAGGGGGGUAGAAUUCCACGUGUAGCAGUGAAAUGCGUAGAGAUGUGGAGGAAUACCGAUGGCGAAGGCAGCCCCCUGGGCCAAUACUGACGCUCAUGCACGAAAGCGUGGGGAGCAAACAGGAUUAGAUACCCUGGUAGUCCACGCCCUAAACGAUGUCAACUAGUUGUCGGGUCUUCAUUGACUUGGUAACGUAGCUAACGCGUGAAGUUGACCGCCUGGGGAGUACGGUCGCAAGAUUAAAACUCAAAGGAAUUGACGGGGACCCGCACAAGCGGUGGAUGAUGUGGAUUAAUUCGAUGCAACGCGAAAAACCUUACCUACCCUUGACAUGUA
rnacentral:rRNA from 1 species